UGUAGUAACUGCACUGUUGCACCAAUACAAGAUGUCUACUUUAGAAUACUUGUUCAAGAUGUUUGAAGAUUGCUUCAGUGAACCGCUUUGUAAAGAUGGAGAGAAAAGCCACAGCUUUCUCUAGGUAUCUAUGGGUGGAAGAUGGAAGAUCAAUGCAGAACAAGACAAAGGUUUGGGAUCAAGUCCUGUCUUCAAAGCUAUAGGAUAUUGAAGAAAUAAGUAAUUUAUCUUCUUGAAGCCUCCAUCAUCUUUUCAAUAGAAAGGAUCAGGCACUGGGUACUGGCCUUGGUACUGAGAAACAACUUAAAAAGGAGAAACGAUUCAUCUUGGCUCAUGGUUUGAGGGGUCACUGCCCAUUGUGGUAAGGAAUGCAUGGCUGUGGGAGUUUCCUCAUGUCUGGAUGACCAAGAAACAGAAACUAGUCUCAAAGCAGGGAAAAACCGUUGCUUCUAUGACUUGUCUUCUGGCAAUUAAUUUUCCCAGAUGAGUCUAUCCUGUGUCAUACUGAAACAAAGCUAACCAGCAAGAAGGUCCAUGUCUUGUCCCAGCCAUUUCCUGUAUUCCCAGUGCUUCUUGUCUGCCACAAGUUGAAGAGCUUUGACCCAUCAUUCCUUCCCUACGAUGAAGAUGAAGCCUCUAGAGCUGUAAAAAAAAAAAAAUAAAACAAAAACAAAAAACAAGCCC